rnacentral:rRNA from 1 species
UACGUAGGGGGCAAGCGUUGUCCGGAUUUACUGGGCGUAAAGCGCACGCAGGCGGUCUCUUAAGUUUGGAGUGACAGUUGGUGGCUUAACUGCCAAAGUGCUUCGAAAACUGAGAGACUUGAGGGCUUCAGAGGGACACGGAAUUUCCAGUGGAGCGGUGAAAUGCGUAGAGAUUGGAAAGAACACCGAUGGCGAAGGCAAUUUACUGGGCUAUUACUAACACUCAGAGACGAAAGCUAGGGUAGCAAAUGGG